UCCUGACCCUCUGAAAAUCAGCUUGGCUGAUGCCAAGAUUUCAUUUGCACUGUGUUCCUGACUCCUUUUUGCUCCUUAAGCAAAAGGAAUGGAAUAUGCCUGGACUGCUCAGUUGAUUGUGUGUCCCUCUCCAAGCUGGUGUUAUUUACACAAGCUAAUAUUAGAAACAUAAGCAGGAAUGUUUCUGGGAGCAGCAUGGAAGGAAGCCAGUGCUUCAGGACCUGUGUGACAGCAAAGCCAACAGAUGAAACACUGGAAGGAGUCCUUCUCAUAGGAAAAGGAUGACACUGUGCAGUGCUGUAGACAGACAUAGACAUCAUUAUUUAGUCUGUGCUGGAGAGUCAAGAAAUCACUACAAAGGAGCAAGCAUCAGAAAUUAAUGAAGAACAUGCAUAAACCUGACAGAAUAAAUAGAUGCUUAACAACAAUUUGGUGAGAGCUUGGGGACAUAUUAAGGGAGACUUGGGAGCAACUCAUCAGCAGGAAAGGAUUCAAGCAUAUGGUGACUUUGCACUGAAA